rnacentral:ncRNA from 1 species
GAAAUGACAUCGAAAAGAAGAGUAGCCAUUAGCAGUUUUUAGAGAGUCUCUGGUUGGUGCGAAGAGAUAGCAACUAAUUGUGAAACACAUCUUGGAGUCGGUUUUUUGAAAUUGAGAAGUAGGAGAACCCGGGUAGCCCGUUAUAGCUGCGGUCAUUGUUUGAUGACCAGAUGAGGUUGGCUGACUGUGAAGUGCCAACAAAAAAAGGUGGAACCACGUUUAUUCGUCCUUUGG